GCCCUUUUAUAUCUCCCAACUCGGACCUGGUUUUUAACACACUUCUCAUCAAUUAUGGCUGUUUCCAGUUGCCAGCAAUCCCUACGCUAUGCCAAAACAGCACCUCGUUGGAUUCCUUUACGUGGACAAGUGCUAAAGAGAGUCCUCAAACUUGUAUUUGCUUCAUUUCUCUGCUGCAAUUGUUCCGCAACCAGAAAAAGCAGCCAGUCAAUGGUGUUUCCUUGUUGAAACGUCUUUGUUUCUCCAUUGUUCCUUUUCAUUUUCUAGUUUCCCUUUUCUUUAAGGGCAGCAAACAAACAAACAAAAAAAGAUAAAACAACAGAAAAGAAAAUGAUGACAUGAUUUGGAGAAAGUGAGAAGGUGAGUAGAUUGUGGUCAUUUGUUGUGUUAGUUUAUGAAAUAAGUGAAUCAAUAAUGGCUUCUUUUCUUCCAAAGACAACGAUUUUUUUACUUCAUUGUUGUGCGAGAUUUUGGGAGUUAUUAUUAAUGUAAAUGGUAGGAAAAUUAAUUCACGUCGAUCUACAUGUGGUCGC
rnacentral:lncRNA from 1 species